GACAAACGCUGGCGGCAUGCCUAACACAUGCAAGUCGAACGGACAGAACAGGGAAGCUUUUCGGAGUGGAACUGGAAAGUUAGUGGCGGAUGGGUGAGUAACGCGUGGACAACCUACCUUGUAAAGGGGAAUAACCUCGAGAAAUCGAAUCUAAUACCCCAUAAUACCCUUGCUUCGCAUGAAGUAAGGAGGAAAGGCGGCCUUAGCGCUGUCGAUACAAGAUGGGUCCGCGUCUGAUUAGCUAGUUGGUGAGGUAAAGGCUCACCAAGGCGACGAUCAGUAGCCGGCCUGAGAGGGUGAACGGCCACAUUGGGACUGAGACACGGCCCAAACUCCUACGGGAGGCAGCAGUGGGGAAUCUCCCGCAAUGGGCGAAAGCCUGACGGAGCAAUGCCGCGUGAGUGAAGAAGGCCUUCGGGUUGUAAAACUCUGUCCUUAUCGAAGAGAGAGUGUUGUAGUAACUGACAAUACUAGGACGGUAGAUGAGGAGGAAGCCCCGGCUAACUAUGUG
rnacentral:rRNA from 1 species